rnacentral:rRNA from 1 species
CCUACGGGAGGCUGCAGUGGGGAAUAUUGGACAAUGGGGGGAACCCUGAUCCAGCCAUGCCGCGUGUGUGAAGAAGGCCCUCGGGUUGUAAAGCACUUUCAGUGAGGAAGAACGCCUGGUGGUUAAUACCCAUCAGGAAAGACAUCACUCACAGAAGAAGCACCGGCUAACUCCGUGCCAGCAGCCGCGGUAAUACGGAGGGUGCGAGCGUUAAUCGGAAUUACUGGGCGUAAAGCGCGCGUAGGUGGCUUGAUAAGCCGGUUGUGAAAGCCCCGGGCUCAACCUGGGAACGGCAUCCGGAACUGUCAAGCUAGAGUGCAGGAGAGGAAGGUAGAAUUCCCGGUGUAGCGGUGAAAGGCGUAGAGAUCGGGAGGAAUACCAGUGGCGAAGGCGGCCUUCUGGACUGACACUGACACUGAGGUGCGAAAGCGUGGGUAGCAAACAGGAUUAGAUACCCGGGUAGUC